CUGCUUUAAAAACAAUGACAACAUUCUGAAAGGAAACAAGGAUUUCCUUGACUGAAAAAAUCCUUGUGAAGUGAAAUCAACAGAUCCAGGAGAACAUUGUAUACAUUAACAGCACUAUUAUAAGAGUGAUCAAAGACUUAUCUAAUCUGAUCAAGACAAAGAUCAUUGACAAUUCCAGAAGGAUUCAUGAUGAAAAAUGUUAUCCAUGUCCAGAAAGAGAAUUGAAGAACUCUGCAUGAAAUUUCAGGAUUCAAAGUCUCCUUGCAGAAGAGGUGGUUGAAGAGACUGGUUCUGGUAUGGAAGACAAGACGUCUGACAUCUAUUCUGAUCAGGAAGAAUGGCAGUUAUCAGUCCAUUUUUUUGGCCUAUUAAGUUUUGAUCUAGCAGCUGCCCAGGUAUAAUUGGUUUGACAACCAUUGAGCAACAUACAUUUUACGUCAGGAUCAGCAUGGAGCAGCUUCUGCUUUUUCAGAUUGGCACAAGAAAUUAAAUGGGAAUUUGUGGAGUUUUAUGAAAGAUACAGAGGACAUAUGAAAGCCAGCAGAUGAUAGAGAACUUAUGACCAAAUACCAAACCCACAUCUUACAAUAAUGUAUUGUAUAUACUAUACAAAAGAAAAAGAAAAAAAUCAUACUUUGCUAAUAUGAAUACUACAUGGAUUUUCCAAAUCAUCAGAGUUCCAUACCCUUAACUCCCAUCAUGUGGAACUAAUAAUUGUAAAUGCUUUAUAAAAGAUUGUUGAAUAUAAUGAAAUAAAAUGGAAUGGGAUUUGUUCUAAUUGUAUCUUUACAAAUACAAUAUUUAUUGCAUGUGAUCAUGCAUUCCUUUGAAAUAAAAUUUGGUGUUGGAAGUUUCCUUGAGAAUUUUAUAGUGGAGAUUUUUAUCCCCAUUUGACCAAAUCAAGGUUCAGACGUGGUAAGUAAUAAACACUAACAGGUGAUGUUUAUUUCAAAUAUAGUUCUACCUGUGGUGACAGACACAGAACCACUGAAAAGACCAAUUAUUUCAAUCUACUGCUGUGAAUUUCUAUAAUCUCUAGAAAUGGAGCAAGUUUAUUUC